rnacentral:piRNA from 1 species
GAUAUACAUGGAAGCAGACUGUUGU